rnacentral:rRNA from 1 species
ACUUAAAUUGAAGAGUUUGAUCAUGGCUCAGAUUGAACGCUGGCGGCAGGCCUAACACAUGCAAGUCGAGCGGUAGCACAGAGAGCUUGCUCUCGGGUGACGAGCGGCGGACGGGGGAGUAAUGUCUGGGAAACUGCCUGAUGGAGGGGGAUAACUACUGGAAACGGUAGCUAAUACCGCAUAAUGUCGCAAGACCAAAGUGGGGGACCUUCGGGCCUCAUGCCAUCAGAUGUGCCCAGAUGGGAUUAGCUAGUAGGUGGGGUAACGGCUCACCUAGGCGACGAUCCCUAGCUGGUCUGAGAGGAUGACCAGCCACACUGGAACUGAGACACGGUCCAGACUCCUACGGGAGGCAGCAGUGGGGAAUAUUGCACAAUGGGCGCAAGCCUGAUGCAGCCAUGCCGCGUGUGUGAAGAAGGCCUUCGGGUUGUAAAGCACUUUCAGCGGGGAGGAAGGCGGUGAGGUUAAUAACCUCAUCGAUUGACGUUACCCGCAGAAGAAGCACCGGCUAACUCCGUGCCAGCAGCCGCGGUAAUACGGAGGGUGCAAGCGUUAAUCGGAAUUACUGGGCGUAAAGCGCACGCAGGCGGUCUGUCAAGUCGGAUGUGAAAUCCCCGGGCUCAACCUGGGAACUGCAUUCGAAACUGGCAGGCUAGAGUCUUGUAGAGGGGGGUAGAAUUCCAGGUGUAGCGGUGAAAUGCGUAGAGAUCUGGAGGAAUACCGGUGGCGAAGGCGGCCCCCUGGACAAAGACUGACGCUCAGGUGCGAAAGCGUGGGGAGCAAACAGGAUUAGAUACCCUGGUAGUCCACGCCGUAAACGAUGUCGAUUUGGAGGUUGUGCCCUUGAGGCGUGGCUUCCGGAGCUAACGCGUUAAAUCGACCGCCUGGGGAGUACGGCCGCAAGGUUAAAACUCAAAUGAAUUGACGGGGGCCCGCACAAGCGGUGGAGCAUGUGGUUUAAUUCGAUGCAACGCGAAGAACCUUACCUGGUCUUGACAUCCACAGAACUUUCCAGAGAUGGAUUGGUGCCUUCGGGAACUGUGAGACAGGUGCUGCAUGGCUGUCGUCAGCUCGUGUUGUGAAAUGUUGGGUUAAGUCCCGCAACGAGCGCAACCCUUAUCCUUUGUUGCCAGCGGUUCGGCCGGGAACUCAAAGGAGACUGCCAGUGAUAAACUGGAGGAAGGUGGGGAUGACGUCAAGUCAUCAUGGCCCUUACGACCAGGGCUACACACGUGCUACAAUGGCAUAUACAAAGAGAAGCGACCUCGCGAGAGCAAGCGGACCUCAUAAAGUAUGUCGUAGUCCGGAUUGGAGUCUGCAACUCGACUCCAUGAAGUCGGAAUCGCUAGUAAUCGUAGAUCAGAAUGCUACGGUGAAUACGUUCCCGGGCCUUGUACACACCGCCCGUCACACCAUGGGAGUGGGUUGCAAAAGAAGUAGGUAGCUUAACCUUCGGGAGGGCGCUUACCACUUUGUGAUUCAUGACUGGGGUGAAGUCGUAACAAGGUAACCGUAGGGGAACCUGCGGUUGGAUCACCUCCUUACCUUAAAGAA